AUGAUCAAGGCUUAUGCUCUUAAGAAGAUGGCUGAGCUAUUCAGGAGGUGGAAGAAUGAGCUGAAAUCAUCGUUUGUCGACCAAGACAAGACUCCAGAAUUCAUCGGCCAAUUUAAGAAGAUAAAAGAUCAGUGGCCCGCAUUUGUCACCAAGAAGAAAUCUGAGAGAGUAGCGAAGAUGUCAGCGACAAACAAGAAAAAUGCUGCAAAGAAGAAGCAUGAUCAUCGCAUGGGGUCAGGUGGCUACCUGAAAGCCCGGCCGUUGUGGGACAAGGCUAAGAAUGACCUCAUUGAUAAAGGGAUCGAACCAGAGACGCGACGCUGGCCAGACCAUUGCAGGACUUAG
rnacentral:rRNA from 1 species